rnacentral:rRNA from 1 species
UGAGGAAUAUUGGUCAAUGGGCGCAAGCCUGAACCAGCCAUGCCGCGUGGAGGAUGAAGGCCUUCUGGGUUGUAAACUUCUUUUAUUGGGGAAGAAAAUUACGGUUUCUACUGUAACCGACGGUACCCAAGGAAUAAGCACCGGCUAACUCCGUGCCAGCAGCCGCGGUAAUACGGAGGGUGCAAGCGUUAUCCGGAUUUACUGGGUUUAAAGGGUGUGUAGGCGGGCUGUUAAGUCAGAGGUGAAAUCUCCGAGCUCAACUCGGAAACUGCCUUUGAUACUAUCAGUCUUGAAUUCUGUUGAGGUGGGCGGAAUAUAUCAUGUAGCGGUGAAAUGCUUAGAUAUGAUAUAGAACACCGAUUGCGAAGGCAGCUCACUAAACAGCGAUUGACGCUGAGGCACGAAAGCGUGGGGAUCAAACA